rnacentral:rRNA from 1 species
AGUGAACGCUGGCGGCAUGCCUAAUACAUGCAAGUCGAACGGAAGCAUAGUAAGAUUGUGCCUUUGCCGUUGGCGAGUGGCGGACGGGUGAGGCAUACAUCGGCAUCUACUAUUUCGUGGAGAAUUACGUAGGAAAGCUUACGCUAAUACAUCAUACAUCCUACGGGUUAAAGCAGGAGAGAUUCAGAGCUUUGCUGAUUGAAUGAGACGAUGUCGGAUUAGCUAGUUUGCGAGGUAAAGGCACACCAAGGCGACGAUCCGUAGCCGGCCUGAGAGGAUGAUCAGCCACACUGGAACUGAGACACGGUCCAGACUCCUACGGGAGGCAGCAGUGGGGAAUAUUGGACAAUGGGCGAAAGCCUGAUCGAGCCAUGCCGCGUGAGUGAAGAAGGUCUUCGGAUCGUAAAGCUCUGUUGUUGGGAAAGAAAAGCUGUAUAUUAAUCCACCGCUGUUUUGACGGUACCUAAAGAAUAAGCACCGGCUAACUUCGUG